rnacentral:misc_RNA from 1 species
AACGCACAUUGCGCCCCUUGGUAUUCCGAGGGGCAUGCCUGUUCGAGCGUCAUUACAACCCUCAAGCAUUGCUUGGUAUUGGGCCCCGCUGUUCAGCAGCGGGCCUUAAAAUCAGUGGCGGUGCCAUCGAGGCCCUGAGCGUAGUAAAUAUCCUCGCUAUAGGGACCCGGUGAAUACUGGCCAUCAACCCCCAACUUUCUAAGUUUGACCUCGGAUCAGGUAGGGAUACCCGCUGAACUUAA